AACAUGACAAAAGGACCAUGUGUAACUGUCUUUGCUGUUGGUGAGACGACUGGGUUGGCUGGUUGGAUAAAUGAUUACAUACAUGCAAGAUGAAUGAAUGCAUGUUAUGGACUUUAAGUUGGAUUUAACAAAUCCAUAUACAUUUUCAGUUCAGUUUAAACGAG